GGGUUGUGAGGUUAAGCGACUAAGCGUACACGGUGGAUGCCCUGGCAGUCAGAGGCGAUGAAGGACGUGCUAAUCUGCGAUAAGCGUCGGUAAGGUGAUAUGAACCGUUAUAACCGGCGAUUUCCGAAUGGGGAAACCCAGUGUGAUUCGUCACACUAUCAUUAACUGAAUCCAUAGGUUAAUGAGGCGAACCGGGGGAACUGAAACAUCUAAGUACCCCGAGGAAAAGAAAUCAACCGAGAUUCCCCCAGUAGCGGCGAGCGAACGGGGAGCAGCCCAGAGCCUGAAUCAGUGUGUGUGUUAGUGGAAGCGUCUGGAAAGGCGCGCGAUACAGGGUGACAGCCCCGUACACAAAAAUGCACAUGCUGUGAGCUCGAUGAGUAGGGCGGGACACGUGGUAUCCUGUCUGAAUAUGGGGGGACCAUCCUCCAAGGCUAAAUACUCCUGACUGACCGAUAGUGAACCAGUACCGUGAGGGAAAGGCGAAAAGAACCCCGGCGAGGGGAGUGAAAAAGAACCUGAAACCGUGUACGUACAAGCAGUGGGAGCACGCUUAGGCGUGUGACUGCGUACCUUUUGUAUAAUGGGUCAGCGACUUAUAUUCUGUAGCAAGGUUAACCGAAUAGGGGAGCCGAAGGGAAACCGAGUCUUAACUGGGCGUUAAGUUGCAGGGUAUAGACCCGAAACCCGGUGAUCUAGCCAUGGGCAGGUUGAAGGUUGGGUAACACUAACUGGAGGACCGAACCGACUAAUGUUGAAAAAUUAGCGGAUGACUUGUGGCUGGGGGUGAAAGGCCAAUCAAACCGGGAGAUAGCUGGUUCUCCCCGAAAGCUAUUUAGGUAGCGCCUCGUGAAUUCAUCUCCGGGGGUAGAGCACUGUUUCGGCAAGGGGGUCAUCCCGACUUACCAACCCGAUGCAAACUGCGAAUACCGGAGAAUGUUAUCACGGGAGACACACGGCGGGUGCUAACGUCCGUCGUGAAGAGGGAAACAACCCAGACCGCCAGCUAAGGUCCCAAAGUCAUGGUUAAGUGGGAAACGAUGUGGGAAGGCCCAGACAGCCAGGAUGUUGGCUUAGAAGCAGCCAUCAUUUAAAGAAAGCGUAAUAGCUCACUGGUCGAGUCGGCCUGCGCGGAAGAUGUAACGGGGCUAAACCAUGCACCGAAGCUGCGGCAGCGACGCUUAUGCGUUGUUGGGUAGGGGAGCGUUCUGUAAGCCUGUGAAGGUGUACUGUGAGGUAUGCUGGAGGUAUCAGAAGUGCGAAUGCUGACAUAAGUAACGAUAAAGCGGGUGAAAAGCCCGCUCGCCGGAAGACCAAGGGUUCCUGUCCAACGUUAAUCGGGGCAGGGUGAGUCGACCCCUAAGGCGAGGCCGAAAGGCGUAGUCGAUGGGAAACAGGUUAAUAUUCCUGUACUUGGUGUUACUGCGAAGGGGGGACGGAGAAGGCUAUGUUGGCCGGGCGACGGUUGUCCCGGUUUAAGCGUGUAGGCUGGUUUUCCAGGCAAAUCCGGAAAAUCAAGGCUGAGGCGUGAUGACGAGGCACUACGGUGCUGAAGCAACAAAUGCCCUGCUUCCAGGAAAAGCCUCUAAGCAUCAGGUAACAUCAAAUCGUACCCCAAACCGACACAGGUGGUCAGGUAGAGAAUACCAAGGCGCUUGAGAGAACUCGGGUGAAGGAACUAGGCAAAAUGGUGCCGUAACUUCGGGAGAAGGCACGCUGAUAUGUAGGUGAAGUCCCUCGCGGAUGGAGCUGAAAUCAGUCGAAGAUACCAGCUGGCUGCAACUGUUUAUUAAAAACACAGCACUGUGCAAACACGAAAGUGGACGUAUACGGUGUGACGCCUGCCCGGUGCCGGAAGGUUAAUUGAUGGGGUCAGCGCAAGCGAAGCUCUUGAUCGAAGCCCCGGUAAACGGCGGCCGUAACUAUAACGGUCCUAAGGUAGCGAAAUUCCUUGUCGGGUAAGUUCCGACCUGCACGAAUGGCGUAAUGAUGGCCAGGCUGUCUCCACCCGAGACUCAGUGAAAUUGAACUCGCUGUGAAGAUGCAGUGUACCCGCGGCAAGACGGAAAGACCCCGUGAACCUUUACUAUAGCUUGACACUGAACAUUGAGCCUUGAUGUGUAGGAUAGGUGGGAGGCUUUGAAGUGUGGACGCCAGUCUGCAUGGAGCCGACCUUGAAAUACCACCCUUUAAUGUUUGAUGUUCUAACGUUGACCCGUAAUCCGGGUUGCGGACAGUGUCUGGUGGGUAGUUUGACUGGGGCGGUCUCCUCCUAAAGAGUAACGGAGGAGCACGAAGGUUGGCUAAUCCUGGUCGGACAUCAGGAGGUUAGUGCAAUGGCAUAAGCCAGCUUGACUGCGAGCGUGACGGCGCGAGCAGGUGCGAAAGCAGGUCAUAGUGAUCCGGUGGUUCUGAAUGGAAGGGCCAUCGCUCAACGGAUAAAAGGUACUCCGGGGAUAACAGGCUGAUACCGCCCAAGAGUUCAUAUCGACGGCGGUGUUUGGCACCUCGAUGUCGGCUCAUCACAUCCUGGGGCUGAAGUAGGUCCCAAGGGUAUGGCUGUUCGCCAUUUAAAGUGGUACGCGAGCUGGGUUUAGAACGUCGUGAGACAGUUCGGUCCCUAUCUGCCGUGGGCGCUGGAGAAUUGAGGGGGGCUGCUCCUAGUACGAGAGGACCGGAGUGGACGCAUCACUGGUGUUCGGGUUGUCAUGCCAAUGGCACUGCCCGGUAGCUAAAUGCGGAAGAGAUAAGUGCUGAAAGCAUCUAAGCACGAAACUUGCCCCGAGAUGAGUUCUCCCUGACUCCUUGAGAGUCCUGAAGGAACGUUGAAGACGACGACGUUGAUAGGCCGGGUGUGUAAGCGCAGCGAUGCGUUGAGCUAACCGGUACUAAUGAACCGUGAGGCUUAACCUUACAACGCCGAAGGUGUUU
rnacentral:rRNA from 1 species